rnacentral:rRNA from 1 species
CGGUUAAAAAGCUCGUAGUUGGAUCUUGGAGUGUGAGUGAAUGGUCGAUCGAAAGAUUGUACUGUUCGGCACACUCUUCUCUUCGGUUGCGUGUGUAGUGCCCUUAACUGAGUGCUGCACUCGACCGGAAUUUUUACCUUGAAAAAAUUAGAGUGUUCAAAGCAGACCUGAUUAUGUCUGAAUAUUCGUGCAUGGAAUAAUAAAAUAAGAACUUGGUUCUAUUUUAUUGGUUUUCGGAACUCGAGUUAAUGAUUAAGAGGGACAGACGGGGGCAUCCGUACUCUGCCGUUAGAGGUGAAAUUCUUGGAUCGGCGGAAGACGCGCAACUGCGUAAGCAUUUGCCAAGAAUGUUUUCUUUAAUCAAGAACGAAAGUCGGAGGUUCGAAGACGAUCAGAUACCGUCCUAGUUUCGACUGUAAACUAUGCUAGCUAACGAUCAGACAGCGUUCUCUACGACUUGUCUGGCAGUUUCCGGGAAACCAAAGCUUUUGGGUUCCGGGGGAAGUAUGGUUGCAAAGCUGAAACUUAAAGGAAUUGACGGAAGGGCACCACCAGGAGUGGAGCCUGCGGCUUAAUUUGACUCAACACGGGGAAACUCACCCGGCCCGGACACAGUGAGGAUUGACAGAUUGAGAGUUCUUUCUAGAUUCUGUG